UAUUCCUGCCAGGGGUCAAACCUAGACUAAUAGCCCGAAAAACUAUAGUUGUACCUUCAACUACAAGAAC
rnacentral:tRNA from 1 species